UACAUGGGGUGCAAACGUUGCUCGGAAUCAUUGGGCGUAAAGCGCGCGUAGGCGGUUACUUAAGUUGGAUGUGAAAGCCCUCGGCUUAACCGAGGAAGUGCAUCCAAAACUGAGUAGCUAGAGUACGAAAGAGGGUCGCGGAAUUCCCGGUGUAGAGGUGAAAUUCGUAGAUAUCAGGAGGAACACCGGUGGCGAAGGCGGUGGUCUGGGCCGGCACUGACGCUGAGGAGCGAAAGCGUGGGGAGCGAACAGG
rnacentral:rRNA from 1 species